GUCCUCCCACCGCUCAUCUGUUCGCUCGUCUUCCUCGGUCUCGCUCCGCUGGCUCACUCCUGCGCCGCCCAGCGCCUCAGCCCCCGCCCCCUUCCGCCCGAAGUCGCCUUCUUGCUUACCCCUGCUGCGCUGCCGCCGCCUUGCUCCCCCGCGGCCUUUCUCCCCGCGCUGGUGUCGCCUGCGAAGAAAUCGCCGUCGGGAAAGCUUUGAUUUUUCCCGUCCAAGACAUCGCCGCCGCCAUGCUUCUCUCUUGACGUUCAUGUCCGCGGAGGCCGCCGUCUCUGCUAGUUGCGGGGCGUGCGGGUACGACCUGAAGCUGAGCCGAACACGGCGGCCGGCGCGACGAGGCAGCGGCGGAGCGUGGUGGUGUUUGAGGCCAUCGAUGACACGCGGCUGAAGGCAUCAAAACAGGAAGAGGUGGUGAUUCAGAAGGUCAAUCCGCAAGUGGCAACUGAGAAGGCAACUCAGUGCGCUGCUCCUUUGUAGUUCAAUGAAACGAUGUUAUAUGUCGAGAAGCGAAAACUGAAUCGCCUCUUGCAAUGUUGCUAAAUCACAUCAUAUUGCAAGUACUGCUAUGGGCUGGUGGCAAUCUGUCCCUUUCAUCAAUUAUAGAACCCAGACUAGGGCUGGGCCUGGAGGGUGCU